GUAUUGUAUUGCGUUAAACGCGACAAACAUUCCAUGAGACUUUAUGGCAGUGUGUGUGUGUAAAUACGUAGAACCACAGCAAGGGGACAAAGUCACCCAGGCCAUAGAACUACAGAGGGUGCACAGGUGUGGGUGGAUGUGUAAACAGAGCGUGCACAUGCCCCCGGUUUGGGGACCAGCAACAACUCGUGUUGACAGUUCGGUAAUGAUCCUUCCGCAGGUUCACCUACGGAAA
rnacentral:misc_RNA from 1 species